rnacentral:rRNA from 1 species
GAUGAACGCUGGCGGCGCGCCUAACACAUGCAAGUCGAACGAUUAAAGCACCUUCGGGUGUGUAUAAAGUGGCGAACGGCUGAGUAACACGUGGGCAACCUGCCCCUUUCAUUGGGAUAGCCACGGGAAACCGUGGAUAAUACCGAAUACUUCGAGACUUCCGCAUGGAAGACUCGAGAAAGCUCCGGCGGAGAGGGAUGGGCCCGCGGCCUGUUAGCUUGUUGGUGGGGUAACGGCCUACAAAGGCAAUGAUGGGUAGCUGGGUUGAGAGACCGACCAGCCAGAUUGGGACUGAGACACGGCCCAGACUCCUACGGGAGGCAGCAGUGGGGAAUCUUGCACAAUGGGCGAAAGCCUGAUGCAGCGACGCCGCGUGCGGGAUGAAGGCCUUCGGGUUGUAAACCGCUUUCAGCAGGGACGAGGCGAAAGUGACGGUACCUGCAGAAGAAGCCCCGGCUAACUACGUG